UACGUAGGGGCGAGCGUUGUCCGGAGUUACUGGGCGUAAAGGGCAUGCAGGCGGUCCGACACGUUUUGUGUGACAGCGGGUGGCUUAACUACCCGAGGAUACGAAAGACGGUUGGACUUGAGGACUCGAGAGGGACACGGAAUUCCGGGUGGAGUGGUGAAAUGCGUAGAGAUCCGGAGGAACACCGAAGGCGAAGGCAGUGUCCUGGCGAGUGACUGACGCUGAGGUGCGAAAGCCAGGGGAGCGAACGGG
rnacentral:rRNA from 1 species